AAAUUUGGGACUUUUGCCUCCGGGUGUUUUCGAGGUAAAUUAACCUUGUAGAAACCUAAUUGGGGGUAUAACGAACGCGUUGGUGCGCUCGGUUCGACAAUCCGACGAGUGUACGUGAAGUUAUUGACGAAACGGUCUGUUUUGGUACAGAUAGCCGCAGCACGCGGGAUAGACGCCCAAAAAUCAUGAAAAUGGAUCUCGAGCAUCGUGGUAAAGGGGAAUAAACUCCCGAACAGACGGAUCGCGGAUUGGUGGCCGUUCGGGUGGUCGCACAAGAGUUCGGGCCAAACCGGGUCACGGGUGCCGCGGGAGGCCGAUUGCAAGUGACUACAAGCAAUCGGAAUGCGAGUUAAGGUGGGUUGUGCUUACCGAAGCGACUAGGUCGCCUUUAUGUCUAAGCAAAUUAAGAAUCCAUGUUGAUGCAUAUAGAUGUAAAUGAAGCAUGAAAAUGAUGCAUGUUAAUGUAAAUGCCAAGUAGAAAUGCGUAAUGAUAUGAUGCAAGUUACAUAAUGCUAGAUGAAUGCAUGAGUUAAUUGUUACAUGAAUGCAUGAAAAUAAUGUUAUAGUAAUAAGUUAGAGGUAAUAUGCAUGUUGAUAAAUUAUGGAACAUGUUGGAUGGCAUAUGAAUGGUUGGCAUAUAUAUGUAGACAUAUUGUGGAAUAUGAUGAAUGAGUGCAUGUUGAUUUAUUGCAGAAUAUACUAGAUGAAUGUAUAUUGACAUAUUGUGGAUUAUGUUAAAUGACACAUGCAUGUUGAACUUGGGUCGAUAAACUCUAGGUGAAUUAGAGAACUCGACAUUGGAAAACAAUGACAUAUGAACUAUGAUAUGUGACGUGAACAAUCUAUAUAUAUUAGAUCGAGUGGCAUAUGAUUAGUAUAGUGGAAACACUUAUGGCAUGUUGAACACUUAGAAAACAAGUGUGGCAUGAGUCCAAGAAUAUAAUAGUGUAUAUGACACAAGUGAUAGUAAAGAAUGCAAAGAAAAGAAUGAUGGAAAUAUUAUGACAUUUCAACCCUAGAGUUAGGGUCAUUUGAGCAUAGUCUUCCUAAAGUUAAGGAAUGGAUUGAACUUGACAUCCUCAAGAUUUUGAAUUUGAUCAUUGAUCAUACUCACCUUUAGUCCUUGCUCGAGGUUGUGGUAGCUCCNUCGACUCGAAAUUAGGCUCGCUCGAGCUCGGCUCGAAUUAAUUUCAAGCCGAGCUUGAGCCUAGAUUUAGGCUCGAAAUUAAUUUCAAGCCGAAUUUGAGCUGAUAUAAGCUCACUCGAGCUCGGCUCGCUUCCACCCCUAGUCACCCUAGCUCACAUUUCUUGCAAUUAUUUUGUAUUUUGAACUAUUGCAUAUGUUACAUCAAAUUUUAGGUAAUGUUAUGUAAAAAUUAAACUAUUGAUUAUAUAAUGUCGAGAAUUUCAAUCGGCUCGUUUAGAGCUCGAGCUCGNGACUCGAAAUUAGGCUCGCUCGAGCUCGGCUCGAAUUAAUUUCAAGCCGAGCUUGAGCCUAGAUUUAGGCUCGAAAUUAAUUUCAAGCCGAAUUUGAGCUAACAUAAGCUCGCUCGAGCUUGGCUCGUUUCCACCCCUAAUUUGAUUGCAUCU
rnacentral:lncRNA from 1 species